rnacentral:rRNA from 1 species
UAGGGAAUCUUGGACAAUGGGGGAAACCCUGAUCCAGCCAUGCCGCGUGAGUGAAGAAGGCCUUAGGGUCGUAAAACUCUUUCGCCAGGGAAGAUAAUGACGGUACCUGGUAAAGAAACCCCGGCUAACUCUGUGCCAGCAGCCGCGGUAAUACGGAGGGGGUUAGCGUUGUUCGGAAUUACUGGGCGUAAAGCGCACGUAGGCGGGCUGAAAAGUUGGGGUGAAAUCCCGGGGCUCAACCCCGGAACUGCCUUCAAAACUGACAGCCUAGAGUUCGAGAGAGGUGAGUGGAAUUCCGAGUGUAGAGGUGAAAUUCGUAGAUAUUCGGAGGAACACCAGUGGCGAAGGCGGCUCACUGGCUCGAUACUGACGCUGAGGUGCGAAAGUGU